AAUUCGAAUACAUCUACUAUGAACCCAAACAACAUUUUAAACGUAUCUUCUAAUUUUAAUAUGAAUAGAAAAGGCAUUUUUAAUAUUAUAGAUAAUAAUAGUUUAGAUGCAAACACAACAACUGAAGAUACACAACAUAAAACGAAUACUCUUAAUACAGAUGGAACUUUGUUAAUAAAAAAUUUAAUUUCAGCCAUAAAUGUACAUAAAAGUACACUAAACAAACUAAGCCCAAAUGAACGAUAUUCAUUUUUUAAAUUAUUAUCUUUAUAUAAUUUAAAUACUGAUGAAGAGAAGGAACUUUAUGACUUGUUAAUAAAACCGAUUCAAUCGAACAUCAGUGUUAAUGUAAAUAUGAGUUCAUAUGAUAAUGACAUAAUUUGCAACAAUGAACGUUUUACUAAUAUUAAUAACGGAUCCAAUAUAAACGUUUUUUAUGACGAAAGUGAACAAAUUGAAAAUAUGAUUAAAUUAAAAUAUUUUUUAAGACAAUUAAAUGAUAAUCAAACAGAUAUGCCUGUAAAGCAUACUAAUACAACUACUGGUAUUGGUAUAAAUACUAAAACGAUACAUGAAUAUAAUGAUAGUAAAAAUGUUUCAUAUAAUACAGAUGUUAGUAAGUUAUUAAAAUUAUUUCAUGAUACUAAUAAUGCUAAUAAUAAUGUUAAUAAACAGAAUAAAAUAGAUGACUUGGUCAGUGAAACAAAUGAAAAUAUGGAUGAUUUUGUUAAUAAGAUUAUUAGUGGUAAUGGUACUAAUGAAGUUAAUGAUAACAGUAUACAACAUAGUGUAUAUAACAACAAUAUGGAUAAAUAUAAUGCCAUAAUUAAAAACAAUAUGUAUUACAAUGAUCAUAAUAAUAAUAACAAUAAUAAUAACAAUAAUAAUAACAAUAAUAAUAANNNNNNNNNNAAUAAUAAUAACAAUAAUAAUAACAAUAAUAAUAACAAUAAUAAUAACAAUAAUAAUAAUAAUAAUAAAAAUAUGGUUGGAACAACACCUUUACAGAUGCAUAUAUUCGAUAAAGAACAACAUGUAGAUGAACAAAAAAAAAAAAAAAAAAUGUAUACCACUGCUACUACUACUAUGAAUAAUAUGAAUAGUAAUUAUAUUAUGGGUAGUGAUAACAAUAAUCAUAUAAGUACUAACAGAAGUCAUAUGAGCAGUAAUAACAGUAAUAGUAUCAAAAAUAGCCUGUUUAAUAUAUAUAAUAAUGUUGAUAAAAUAAGAAUGCAACAUGUUGGUAGUAACGGAAUAAAUAAUUGUGAAUAUACAAGAGUACAUAUGACUCAUAAUGUUAAUGGAAACGUUCGUAACACUGAUCCAAUACACUUUCAAUAUGUGAGUAGUGACAAGAGUAGUAGUAAUAAUAGAAAUAUGUUAAUAAAUGGCAACAAUAGCAAUAACGGAUUUUUUAGUAACGACGAAACUAGCAGGGAUUGUAAUGACGUCAGCAUAAACAAAAAGAGCCACAUUAAUAAACAGGGUAUUAACAAAAACGAUAUUAACAAACACGAUAUUAACAAACACGAUAUUAACAAAAACGAUAUUAACAAAAACGAUAUUAACAAAAAUGAUAUUAACCAAAAUGACCUUAACCAAAACGGCCUUAUCCAAAACGACCUUAACCAAAAUGGCCUUAACCAAAAUGGCCUUAACCAAAAUGGCCUUAACCAAAACGACCUUAACCAAAACAACCUUAACCAAAACGACCUUAACCAAAACGACCUUAACCAAAACGAGCUUAACCAAAACGACCUUAACCAAAACGACCUUAACCAAAACAACAUCAGAAACAACAAU
rnacentral:lncRNA from 1 species